rnacentral:rRNA from 1 species
ACGGAAGGCAGCAGUGAGGAAUAUUGGUCAAUGGGCGGAGGCCUGAACCAGCCAAGUCGCGUGAGGGAUGAAGGUAUUAUGUACUGUAGACUUCUUUAGCAGCAGAGUAAUAAGGGGGUCGUGACCUCCGAUGCAAGUAUGCUGAAAAUAAGGAUCGGCUAACUCCGUGCCAGCAGCCGCGGUAAUACGGAGGAUCCGAGCGUUAUCCGGAUUUAUUGGGUUUAAAGGGUGCGCAGGCGGUUUUUUAAGUCAGUGGUUAAAUCGUGAGGCUCAACCUCAUCACGCCAUUGAUACUGGAAGACUUGAUUGCGGUUGAGGUUGGCGGAAUUCGUCGUGUAGCGGUGAAAUGCAUAGAUAUGACGAAGAACACCGAUUGCGUAGGCAGCUGACCAAGCCGUAAAUGACGCUCAUGCACGAAAGUGCGGGGAUCGAACAGGAUUAGAUACCCUGGUA